ensembl:lncRNA
GACGGUUCACCUCACAAGACCGGGGUCAACCACGGCUACCAGCAUGAACGACGGCGCUUCAACCAAAGAACUACAGACUCUUCACAACCUGCUCAAACUCUUGGUACAGGACCUCACCACACGGGUCAAGAAGGUUUCCAUCUCAUUUCUACUCUGAAGCUCACCUUCUCCUGCUCAAACUGCUGACAAAUGUUUCUGCUGCUCUAAAGUCUGGUCUCCAGAACUUCCUAAAAACUCUCAGAGUCUCUUCUGCUGCAGGUUGCUUUGUAGAACUGUUCCAGAAAACCUCAUUAAACCACAUGGAGGGGCCUCAAGAUAGUCAUCCAAAUGAAACCAUACAAAAACCAAACUAGCACAACCCAAACGCUAAAGUCUCCUGCAGCCUACCAGAGAACCUCUGAGAACAGAGAAUCAGGACAGGAACUCUUACCUUCUGGACAACCAACGUUGGUUCACAAACAAGAACACAGAAUGUGUCUGACCAAAAACCUCUGAAGACUCACUACAGCCAAGAUAAAGACACAACUCAGCUGCACCAAAUCCACUAAUCACUGCACACCAUGUGCUAACUGUGGCUAAAGAACCACAUUUACCAAGACAACUAUCCAGUACAAAGCCCUAAAACACACCAAGAAACACAUUAAAGAUGAUUUUACUGCUGGAAGCUGCAAGCCAACGCCUAAAGAACAAACUGAAGCAACGGAGCCAAACCCAGUUCACUGGUGAAGAGAAACAGAGGAAAUGUUUGUCUGCAGCUAAAUAAAGCAGGAAGACACUGAGCUGCUCAGGUGUUCCUGAUAACACCAAGCAGCCACCUGGACAGCCAAUAGGAACACAGCUUACUGGAAGUCCAGAGGGCUGGGUUAGUGAAGGAAAUUUAAUUUAAAGUUGAAGCAGAAAGUUACCAAAGAAAGUUGAAAACCACCUUCUGAUCCCUGAAAUCUCUGAGUUUUCACACAAAGAACGCCUGAACAUGUCAAACUGGUUCCAUAGUAGAACCAUCAUUGUAAAAACGUCAUAGUAUGGUGUGUUGCUCAAAAAACAUUAGGACCCGGCUGUCUAGGGUUGCCGAGGAGCAACACAAAAACAGGACAAAUGCUGGUUUCCAGGGGGUUAGGAGGCUAUUUAUUUGAAAGAGUAAGUUUACAACAACACAACAUGUGAGCAGAAAAAUCCCAAAGUCUGCCUUUAGUUCAACUGAAAAUAUUAGUUUUUGUCUUUUUUAUUGAUCAAACUUUUCAGGAAGUAGAUGAAGAAUAAUUAAAGCUCUCAUGUAGAAGUCCAACUUAUUUUGGAUCCUUGUGGAAAGUUUAAUCUUAGAGUUUGUAAAGCUGUUGAGUUUUUAGAGUCACAUGGUUUGUUUUGACAUUUAAUAACCGAGUCCUGAAAUAAAAUUACAGUUGUGGAUUUCUGUCAUUUAGUCUGGACUAAACAAAUAACAGCAGCAUAAAUCUCAAAUGUCAUUAUGAGGAGUCUGGAUUGAGGUUUCUCACUUGAUAAUGAUCAAAACAUGAAAUUUAGGUUGG